UACGGGGGGGGCAAGCGUUGUUCGGAAUUACUGGGCGUAAAGGGCUCGUAGGCGGCCAACUAAGUCAGACGUGAAAUCCCUCGGCUUAACCGGGGAACUGCGUCUGAUACUGGAUGGCUUGAGUUUGGGAGAGGGAUGCGGAAUUCCAGGUGUAGCGGUGAAAUGCGUAGAUAUCAGGAGGAACACCGGUGGCGAAAGCGGCUACCUGGACAGAAACUGACGCUGAGGCGCGAAAGCUAGGGGAGCAAACAGG
rnacentral:rRNA from 1 species